GGGAGGAUGAUUCAAUUUGCAAUUUUGUAUGAUGUGCAGUUCAGGCACCUUCAUAAGGAAGUAAAUGUGGUCAGUACAUUCUCCCUCGUACUGGGGAAACUCUGGAUCCUAGCCUUCUGGUUCUUGGGCAAGGGGUCAGUGUCUCUGUUUGGUGGAUGCACCUUUCUCGAGACUUCAUCAGCCUUUGGAAAGGAUAACCCUUCCCAAUGCCAAUGACUGCAGAAGAAACUCAUGUCCCCAGGCAAUUCCUCAGAUGACUGCUUCCAACAGAAGACAAAGAAGAGGAUGAAAAGAAUCAAGUCAAGUUUUGCAGACCACAGCAAGAGAGCCAAGAAAACUAAAAGAAUGUUGUCGUUCACUCAGACUGGAAAUCAGUGCGAAUGUGACUGCAUAGAGGAGCACAUACAGCUCUCACCUGGCAGCAGGAUGGAAAGAACGUUUUGGCGCAAGGGGCAAACCAAGACUCACAUUCGCAUGCCCAGAAACCUUGCUCUCUUGGCAGUACAUUAAACUGGAGAGAUUAUGAUUCUUGAAGAGAUGGGAAAGAAAGGCUCUGAAGCAGUGAAGGACACCGCCUGCAUCAUUGAGAACGGCUACAGCGUGGGCCCGGGCCAGGUGCGCAUCAGGCAUGAACAAGGAACCCUUCCAGACUGGGAUGGUUACCGUAACUUUGAGCCCCACACCCAGGACUGGGGGAAAAAUGCUGCCUACCCAUCUCUCUUCUUGUGUGGAGCAGCGCUUCAGGAUACGGGGCUGAGAUCAAACACUACUUGCCGCCAUCUACUCAUGCUGAGAGAAGCGAGGGAAGGACCUGCUAAACCGUUCUUCGCAACGCCAUCUAAAAUACAGCUCUCACUUUAUUUGCUUUGGUUCCGGAGGGAAAAUCGGCUAAGGAUGCCUUUUGUUAGGCUAUGCAGGCUUCUGCCGUUUAGCGAGACCAGUCCAGCUGCUCGGCACGUGGACCCGGAGCCAGAUCAGGGUUCACCAUUUCACUGAGAUUUAUUUUGAGGGAGGGAGCCAUGCGGCACAGCUGCAUGGGGCAGCGUCAUGUACACUGUCAGUAGGCUACUAUUCAUUAUUGUGAAUGGUCACUUCACGUCUUACGAUUGGACUCCUUGGCAACUGGUUCAUUUUUUUCCUAAUCAAAUGAAAAGAUGCAACGUACAUCUGAAGAUCUGCUUGCUUGAGGACCAGCUAACCAACCAUCGUUUUCAAGAGCUGAGAGCAGAAGCAACCGAGGGGCUAGGGAGAACAAUAACAUAAUUUUACCUGCCUAUUUUUAGUCUGAAGCUAGUCGGGUCGGUGAUCAAUAUCAACAGUCACAUUACUUAACAGGAUACAAAAGGACAGUCACAACACCAUCCCCUGCCACAUGCCCUGCCUGUUGUUUUAUAGACACUUUGUGCCCUGCUGGCAGCCUGUGCCAGCUGCCGACCGACUAAAACAGCGCUCCGACAGUUUUCCUGCCUAAUCCGUAAGCGGUGCAGAGUCGCUUCAUUCUCGGCAGCACCACCACUGUAGCCGGGGACGAGUGAGGACGGCUGCAGCUUCUCCGUCAUCCGCUGCUGCCGAGAAGGUGCCUUGGGAACCUAGGCAGUCUCUUAGAAAAAGGAGCAGUUCUCAGGAUGCUCUGAUUCACAAGGGAGUGGGCUGGCACGUCAAGCGAGAAAUGGGAAAUAAGGGAGGUUUUCCUCAAAAGCUGGUACAAAGAAUUUUGAUGAUAGUGCCCAGAUGAAAGCACAUAAAUAAUUUAAAUACGAUAAAUGUCAUAACAACAGAAAGCAUUGUUGUAAGACCAGAUCAUCUUACUAAUUUGUUGUGGAAUCCCCAAGGGUAAGCAGGCAUUUCAGUUCUCUGCUUUCUGUUUUGUUUGAAUGAUAUCGACCUGAAAAUCUAGGCUGUGGUGCUCAAAAUACAGACUUGACGGAAGAACAUCAAUCUGUGUGUAUACAAAUAAGAAAUGGAUUUGCCAAUGCGAUUUAUUAUCUUUGGUAUAAUUAUUUAAUUUUCAACAAAACCUUUCAACAAAACAAGCGUGUUUUGCUGUUUAAUGUGUGUGUGUGUGUGUGUGUGUGUGUGUGUGUCUAUAUACACAUAUAUUUCAAAACUGCUGAGUCUACGUAAGGGAAAUAAAUUAUGAGGUAACAAAAUUCAGACUCUGAACCUAGUCAUGAAAAGUAGAUUUUGAGGAUAAUCUUUUUACAGGAUGUAAGAAGGUGUAGGCCAAAUCAGACAACUUGGAUCACCAAUUUGUUCUCUGUUUGUACAAAAAAGGCCUAGCCCACGGUUAGUCCCGAGCAUUACUGCAAUACAAGCAAAUGAAGGCAAUACAAAGUUAUUAUCAUAUUGAAACUAACCUGAACCAUUCAUAUCCACAGUUGAAACACAGAAAAAAAUACAGGUAUGUUUAGGGGGAAAACACAUUCAUAAACGUGAUGGAUGUACGUGCCCGUUCUCUUUCUCCCACAAAUUCAAAGACACGGCGUUACCACAGAUG